rnacentral:tRNA from 2 species
GCGAGAGUGGCGGAAUGGGUAGACGCACUGGAUUUAGGUUCCAGCGCCGCAAGGCGUGGGGGUUCGAGUCCCUUCUCUCGCA